UCAAGUUUUUAGAAGGUUAUAAUAUAAAUUCAUAAUUUUCUUUUAAUUUGAUCUCUAUCUCUAUCUCUACCGCUCAUCAUUUUUCCAAUAUACAAACAUCCACAAUUUCUUCAAAAAAAAUCUGGUAAAUAGGCUCUCCUUUUAAAUUUAGAAAGCCUGAAAAUAAAUGGAUUGUAUUUACCAUGUAAGAACUUUUUUAUUUUUUUUAUUUUUUAUCUGCUUUUAAUGCUUUGCAACUAAUGUGCUUUGAUUGCAAUGGAAUGUGAUGGUACUGCUAAAUUUGUACUUUUAAAUGCUUCUGAUUUGCAGACUCCUACAACAAAGAACUUUUUAAUUGAUGCUCAUGCUAAAUGUGAUGAUGGUGCUAAAUUUGUAAUUUAAAAUGCUUCUGACUCACUGGUUCCUAUGACAAAGAACUUGUUAAUUGGUGCUCAUCUAAGUCUCUCCACAAAUUAAAAGUUCAACAAAGAGACAAAGUUGAUGCUUCAAUUCCUUCAACAAUUAAAACAAAGAAGGGUUUUCUACCAAUUCUACAAUCUGAUGGAUUUGCUGAUUUUUAUGAAGAUGUAAGUAGAAAACUAAUGGUGACAAAAUGUUCUAGCUGAUUUGAGUUUACUUUUUCUGACAUGGUUCUCAUUUCUGUUUAAUCUGGAGGAAAGAUUACCUGAGCUGAAGACCACAACAACCUUCUUGCAAUGGGAAAAAAAAUUGUAGUAGUUGGUUUCUUCUUGGUUCUUGCUUUAUGUUUUCUCCCUUCUGAAUGCUUUUUGAAAUAGCAUACUCGAAGAUGAUGCUUACAUAGAAUAUUUUACCUUCUUACAGAUAUACACACACUGGAAAUGAUGUGGAAACUCUUAAGCCACCUAAAGCUAAGCCAUAUAAGAUUAUCAAACACCUCUGAAUGAGUAGAAUGAUGAUGAUGAUGAUUUGGAUGAUCUGAGGAAGGGAUGAUCUGAGGAAGGGAGAUCGAGAACCCAGUAUGCAUGUUCUGGUAUUGUCCCUAUUUGAAAAGGUGUUUGUUUUACAAUAUAUUUUCUUGUCAAAUCGUUGAGAAUGCCUUCUGGUGCAUACUACUGAUUAGUUGAUUGUAAAAUCAGACAAUAUCACUGUUUAACAAUUGGCAUUGUGCGUCUCUUUUAUAUGUGGUACGAUUUGUUGGUAACAAAUUUGGCAUUUGUGCAGGUAACUAUAACAGAUGGAAGUGUUUUCCCUAGGAUGGCAUAGUGCCCUUGAAUGAUAAGGACAUAUUGUUCAUGAAGGUGUGUCUUAAUUUCUCUCAUAAUCUGCUAUGACUUUCUGCCUGAACAAAUUUACUGGUCAAAUUGUCUGAGAUCUAGGGAAAAAGUUCUUAGAAUCCUGAUCAAAUGCAUUCAAUUUAUACAAAUUGAAAUUACACUCGACUUCUGAGUGAUUUUGGAAGUUUUUUUCAAAAUAUACGAGUUCAGUGACUGUAAAAGAGAGUAAAUGGAAAAAAGUAUUGAAUGAGGUCCUAA